GGGGGAAGAUUACACACUCGUUUUCGCACGUGUGGAACUGUCUCAGCCGUUUGAUUCUCCAGCCCACUUGCCAGAUCUGUCUCCAGAUCACUACACGUGUCUUUCUUCACACGCAUCUAGAUGAAGCAAAGAUCUUGAAUACGGUGAUGCAUGUUAGAGAAAGAAGUUGAUGGGGUGAGAGCAGGUGUUCAACUAGCAGGAAUAAAUGCUGUGGUGAUUGGAAGAAGCAGCAUCGUCGGUCUGCCAAUUUCUUUAUUACUGCAGGUAUUGUUGUAGUUACUGCGACAGGGUUCUUAUGCUUGAGCAUUUCGGUUUUAAUUUAACUUCGCAGUUAUGUCUUUGCUGACAUUUCAUGGGAAGAGGUUAUGACGCUACAGUAAGCACGGUGCAUUCUUUUUCAAAGGAUCCAGAGCACAUUGUCAGAGAAGCUGAUAUUGUGGGUGUACCUAAUCUAGUUGGUGGAAGUUGGCUGAAGCCUGGAGCAGUUGUCAUUGAUGUAGGAACAUGUCAUGUUGAGCUAAAUGUAAUGCUUCUAAACUGAUCAAAAGUCUUAACUUUCCUAGUGGAUAAAAACUCAUACAGAGAACAAACUUGAGUUUGUUUUUGUUGUUUCUGGUUUGACAAUUGAAGCAUGUAAGUGAUAUAUCAUUUUGCAAAUAAAAAUGAUAUGGCAGGAUAGUAACUGUAAGCAUGGUUACCGUCUUGUUUGAUAUGUAUGUUACGAGGAAGCGUUAGGUGUUGCCUCAGGGAUCACUCCUGUGCCUGGAGGAGUCGGACCCAUGACGAUUGACAAAGCUACUAUGCAAUACUUUGGAGGCUGCCAAGCAGAUAUCCAUAUCUCCGUCUUAUAACUAACAUUUUUUGUUUAAACAAGAGAUAGGAGAUUCCAUGUAUGAUGAAAAAUUCACAAUUCCUUUUAAUUUGAAUGAUCAUGUUGAUGCU